GGUUUCUGGUUGGAGAUCCUUUCUUUGUGGAGUUUCCCUUGUGAGCCUACAUCUUCAGAGAUGGCACAGCCAUAACUCUGAUAUGGACUUCAGCAGAGAUAGAAGUAUGAAUGGAUCCGUAAUAAUUUCAAAGAGCAAGAUCUGAGACUCUGUCCAAUUUCCUCGAAUUAAUAACUGUCUGUAGGAUAUGACCAAGCAAUUUGGAACCUGACAGCAGAGUGAGCUGAGAAUAACUGUAACCAGCCCACUCUGCUGCAAAAUAUUGCAUUGGUGCUAGAAUAGCUUCUGCAGAAACAAGGUCACACAGAGAGAAACAUAGUAAGUACUGACCUUAGCUGGCACUAAUUCAAGUAACAGAUUAGUUUCCUGGAAGAGC
ensembl:lncRNA